CCAGCCAUGCCUUUAAAUAGGCCUUAUAACUAGUCCUAAUCUAAUUAGAAAACUAAAAUAAAAAAACUCCUAAUUAUUUUAAUAUGGAAAUUCGGUCAAAGGUCUUUAUUUGGGACUCUUGGACUGAAUAUUUACAUAAAAAUUUAAACUAAGUAAAUAAAUAAAUAAAAAUAAAACUUUACAACUUGGGCCACUUUGACAAUUUGGCCUGAUUUUCAACUAAGUAUGUAUGGAUUUCUU
rnacentral:lncRNA from 1 species